GUCUGGUGCCAGCAGCCGCGGUAAUUCCAGCUCCAAUAGCGUAUAUUAAACUUGUUGCAGUUAAAAAGCUCGUAGUUGAAUUUCUGCGUCACCGUAUUUUGACUUUUGUCGACUGUCGGUUUCGCUUUUGGGAUUUAUCCCUUUUUACUUUGAGAAAAUUAGAGUGUUUCAAGCAGACUUUUGUCUUGAAUACUUCAGCAUGGAAUAAUAGAGUAGGACUUUGGUUCUAUUUUGUUGGUUUGUGAACCUUAGUAAUGGUUAAUAGGAACGGUUGGGGGCAUUCGUAUUUAACUGUCAGAGGUGAAAUUCUUAGAUUUGUUAAAGACGAACUACUGCGAAAGCAUUUGCCAAGGACGUUUUCAUUAAUCAAGAACGAAAGUUAGGGGAUCGAAGACGAUCAGAUACCGUCGUAGUCCUAACCAUAAAC
rnacentral:rRNA from 1 species